rnacentral:rRNA from 1 species
AGAGUUUGAUCCUGGCUCAGGAUGAACGCUAGCGGCAGGCCUAACACAUGCAAGUCGAGGGGUAGCAGGAAAGCUUGCUUUCGCUGACGACCGGCGCACGGGUGCGUAACGCGUAUGCAACCUACCUCAUACUGGAGGAUACCCCUUGGAAACGAGGAAUAACACUCCAUAGCACUGUGAAACCGCAUGGUUUUAUAGUUAAAGGUUACGGUAUGAGAUGGGCAUGCGUCCCAUUAGCUAGUUGGUGAGGUAACGGCUCACCAAGGCGACGAUGGGUAGGGGGCCUGAGAGGGUGGUCCCCCACACUGGUACUGAGACACGGACCAGACUCCUACGGGAGGCAGCAGUGAGGAAUAUUGGUCAAUGGAGGCAACUCUGAACCAGCCAUGCCGCGUGAAGGAUGACGGCCCUAUGGGUUGUAAACUUCUUUUAUAGAGGAAGAAACUUAACUACGUGUAGUUAACUGACGGUACUCUACGAAUAAGGAUCGGCUAACUCCGUGCCAGCAGCCGCGGUAAUACGGAGGAUCCAAGCGUUAUCCGGAUUCAUUGGGUUUAAAGGGUCCGUAGGCGGAUUUUUAAGUCAGUGGUGAAAGCCGACAGCUCAACUGUCGAACUGCCAUUGAUACUGGAGACCUUGAGUACAAAUGAAGUAGGCGGAAUGAGUCAUGUAGCGGUGAAAUGCAUAGAUAUGACUCAGAACACCGAUUGCGAAGGCAGCUUACUAACAUGUAACUGACGCUGAGGGACGAAAGCGUGGGGAGCGAACAGGAUUAGAUACCCUGGUAGUCCACGCCGUAAACGAU